AUUUUACAUCUAUAGAGAAGGGUGACCUUCACCAACCAGCCAGACUUGGCAACGGUGGUUCAACGAUGUGGCUUUUGAAGCAACAAUAAAGUCAGAU
rnacentral:ncRNA from 10 species